UACGUAGGGUGCGAGCGUUGUCCGGAUUUAUUGGGCGUAAAGAGCUCGUAGGCGUUUGUCGCGUCGGCCGUGAAAUCUCCACGCUUAACGUGGAGCGUGCGGUCGAUACGGGCAGACUUGAGUUCGGUAGGGGAGACUGGAAUUCCUGGUGUAGCGGUGAAAUGCGCAGAUAUCAGGAGGAACACCGGUGGCGAAGGCGGGUCUCUGGGCAGUAACUGACGCUGAGGAGCGAAAGCGUGGGAGCGAACAGG
rnacentral:rRNA from 1 species